GCCAAGUCUGUCAAUUCAAUGUCCAAAAAUAAACGAGUUGCGCUAUUGUAACCGUUUUCGAUAAAUUCUUCUUCAGAUUAUAAUUGAUUCUCCAGUUUAAAUCGAGAUCUGUGCAAUAUUUAUAUAAAUACAUUAUUAAUAAAUUAUUUUAAAACCUUUUUGUACUUUUUAUACAUUGUUAAUACACAAGAUCACAAUAAAGUUUUUUAUAAAUAAUUUUAAAUAGUUUUUUAAAAAACAUUUUUAAAUUUCUCACUUACAAUCGUUCAAGGUGACUUAUUCACAUCCAUUCAGCUUCCCUUCUAAUAGGGCUUACUUCAAACCUCAUUAUUAAAUGCUUUCUGCACUUCCACUUCUCAGCUGAUUCUAAUUCACUGUCUCUUAAAGGGAUAUGUCUCAUUUUACGGUUCACCGAUAACAUGUAAAGUCAAUCUCUCUAUUAAGGCCCUUGGCUGUGUGUGAUUUCAGUCUAUAUAUCCACUUGGAUUCCCACUGUAAAAGAUGUUUCCUUAUGUCAAUAUUUUCAUAUCUGGGGACAUCGCAAUGGUAUAAUACAAGAAAAGUAAAGUCCGUUUCUUUAUGUCCUACUUCUAGGAAAUGUUGCACUAAAGGUUCUUGCAUUUUGGCUAAUCUUAUGUUUGAUUUGUGCUCCGUUAUUCUGAUUUUGAGGUUUCUCAUCGUCAUUCCGAUAUAAUAUAGACCACAUUUACAUUGUAUAAGGUACACACAAUUGGUGGUUUGGCAGUUGGAGAAAUGCUUCAGGUGCCACUUAUAGUUGGUGUUCCGAUCUUCAAAUAUUUUUGUAUUCUGAGAUAAAUUGCAAACUGCACAGUGGCCACAUCUGUGGUGUCCUACAGUGGGUGGGGAAUACCUUUUAGGUGCCCUAAAGUCUGAUCUAAUUAUUUUCUGUCUUAAGCUUUGUGUCUUUCUAAAUCCAAUUCUGGGCAUAUUUCCACAUCCUGGGAUAUCCGAUACCAAAUGCCAGUGUUUAAGUAUGACAUUUUUGAUGUCUUGUGCUAAGGGGAUGAAAUUCAUUGCCCAAUUUAUACCAUCUGUCUUUUUUGUUUUUUGUCUGGGUUGUAGUAAUUUGUCACGGGGAAUCGAUUGAAUGCGUUCCCAAGCUGAUCUUAACACGGGUAUAGGAUAUCCUCUCUCCUGAUAAUCAGAUAAUAUACUAUUAGCUUCCAAAAAGAAUGCAGGUUCUUUUGUGGCAUUUCUCUUAGCCCUUACAAGUUGGCUAAAUGGUAAGUUGUCUCUCAAGUGCCUAGGAUGAUAUGACUGAUAAUGAAGGGCAUGGUUGGUGUCAGUCGGCUUAUGAUAGGGUUUAAAGAAGAUUUUCCCUGAGUUGUCUAUAUUUAUAGUUGUAUCUAGGAAGUUUAUAUUAGAUGUAUCCUUUGUUCCUGUGAACUUAAUGGACGUAUGUCGUCCAUUAAGCCAUUGAAUCAGUUUCAUUACUUCCGUAUCAGGUCUCACUAUAAAUAGUAAGUAAUCUAUGUAUCUUUUAUCUAAACUGAUUUUGUCAUAGUAUGGAUUACUCUCGCUGUUCAUGAUAUAAGUGGUCUCAAACCAUUGCAUGAAAAUAUUGGCGGCACUUGGAGCAAAAUUUGUUCCCAUGCUCAAGCCUUUGAUUUGUAAUCCUCACGAUUUAGAAUGACUGUAGCUCCUCCCUUAUCCGCCUGCUUAAUGAUAAUGUCUGGAUCAGCAGCCAAAUUGUCCAAGAUUUGUAUCUCCCUUAUAUUGAAAUUAAAGAAUAUAUUCCUA